CAGCGGCAAGGGAAGGACGUGGGAGGCUCUGGCAGCCUUGCUCGGGUCUGGAUGUGGGCAGAGCUCAGGUGGUAACAACGUGCAGGAGCCAGCUGUCCCUUCAUGCCACCCGGCCCCGGACAGCUGCUCUCAGGCACCGGUGGGUGAGAAAGAAAUCUCUGUGCCUUGGGACAUCCAUCUCCAGGGAGCAUAAAUCCUCCCCGGAGUCCUGUAUGGCGACGGGGAAAUGCUUUUGAAGGAUGGAGAGAUCUUAGCUGCUACCAAAUGCCAAUUUUCUCGAAAGCCUUUUGGAGAGAAAGGGCUUUGCAUGAGCACCCCGCACUGCGCUGAGGGAGUCUCGGUGGUCCUGCCUCGACCAAACUGCGCUGAUGGAGCCGUGUCCCCACCGUGACUGUCCCCAAAACUGGCACCCAGAGCACGGUGGGAGGACCUGGCACCUGGCAGGUUUUCCUGGGGAAAGGCCGAGCCUGGUCCCCCAGGCAGGGGAGGGAGGGAGGAGAAGGCUGGAGAAGGAAAGGGCAGCAAUGACCUCAGCGCUAAACACUCGCUGAUAAAGGUUCUUUCUGGGCUUUUCCCCAGCCCCGAUUGCCCCCGGGAGAGCCGCACAGGGAGCAUUUAAUCGCCCUGCCAGUCCCAAUCCUGCCUUUCCUCCUUCAAGGAGCAAGAAAGUGAAAAUCCUUUGAUGCCAGGAAGCAAUAGAGAAUACUUUCUGCUCCCUAAAUAAAGGAUACAGUUUUCUAAGCAUCUCGUCUCCUCCUGGGGCCCUCCCACCUUUCCCAUCCCUCUCUCCCUGCUCCUCCCGCUCUCUGCCCAGGUGAACUCCUGGGCAGAGCCGGUUGUCAUCUUUUCAACAGCUCCUUUUUCCCUCGCUCCGAGUCUGCAGGGAGCGGCUCUUACUGUUUACACACCUCCGGCUCCGGGGCGGGAGGUGAAACAAUCCCGGCUUUCAUUCCAUGGAGAAGACGGGGAGCUGGAGCAGCCCCGGCCCUGGUACCCACCACAGCGCCUGGGAUGGCCAAGCUGCUCCUCCCCAGGGACCCCCAUGCUUCUCCUGUGCCAGGAUCCAGCUCCUGCCUCUGGGAUUGCCCCUCCUCUGCAGGGAAAUGCCCAGCCUGGCCGCCGGCUCGAGGUGAUCCUGGACAUCACCUGCCCAUGGCCACUGGCACAUUCCUGGGUAUUUCCCCACCACGGAGGCUCCCAUCCCUGAUAUCCCACGGCGGUGUUGGGUGUGAGCUGAAUUUGCCAGGACUGGUGCAGGAGUGUGAGCUGCCAGCAGCCCCUCCCUGAGCCGUUCUGUGAUUUAUUAAAGGCUGAGCCUGUCCCAGCCAUCCCGAGCUCACCAGGGCCCUGCAGCUGCAGCGUACAGAGCCUCCGAGCUGGUAACUGGAAAGGAAAACUCUCCCAGGCCUCUCCUCG